rnacentral:rRNA from 1 species
UGGCUCAGAACGAACGCUGGCGGCAUGGAUUAGGCAUGCAAGUCGAACGAAGCAGCAAUGCUUAGUGGCGCAAGGGUGAGGAACACGUGAGUGACCUACCCGCAAGUUUGGAACAGCUCCUAGGAAACGGGAAUUAAUACCGGAUGUGAUCGAUGAACUGCAUGGUUUAUUGAUUAAAGCAGCAAUGCGCUUGCGGAUGGGCUCGCGUCCCAUUAGCUAGUUGGUGAGGUAACGGCCCACCAAGGCCAUGAUGGGUAGCUGGUCUGAGAGGACGACCAGCCACACUGGGACUGAGAACUGCCCAGACUCCUACGGGAGGCUGCAGUCGAGUAAGUUUUGGGCAAUGGACGAAAGUCUGAACCCCAGCAAUGCCGCGUGCGGGAUGAAGGUCUUCGGAUUGUAAACCGCUGUUUGGAGGGACGAAAAUUGACGGUACUUCCAGAGGAAGCCACGGCUAACUACGUGCCAGCAGCCGC